rnacentral:rRNA from 1 species
GACGAACGCUGGCGGCGUGCCUAAUACAUGCAAGUCGAGCGAGCGGAACUAACAGAUUUACUUCGGUAAUGACGUUAGGAAAGCGAGCGGCGGAUGGGUGAGUAACACGUGGGGAACCUGCCCCAUAGUCUGGGAUACCACUUGGAAACAGGUGCUAAUACCGGAUAAGAACGCAGAUCGCAUGAUCAGCUUUUAAAAGGCGGCGUAAGCUGUCGCUAUGGGAUGGCCCCGCGCUGCAUUAGCUAGUUGGUNAGGUAAAGGCUUACCAAGGCGAUGAUGCAUAGCCGAGUUGAGAGACUGAUCGGCCACAUUGGGACUGAGACACGGCCCACAUUCUCGGGAGGCAGCAGUAGGGAAUCUUCCACAAUGGACGCAAGUCUGAUGGAGCAACGCCGCGUGAGUGAAGAAGGUUUUCGGAUCGUAAAGCUCUGUUGUUGGUGAAGAAGGAUAGAGGUAGUAACUGGCCUUUAUUUGACGGUAAUCAACCAGAAAGUCACGGCUAACUACGUGCCAGCAGCCGCGGUAAUACAUAGGUGGCAAGCGUUGUCCGGAUUUAUUGGGCGUAAAGCGAGCGCAGGCGGAAGAAUAAGUCUGAUGUGAAAGCCCUCGGCUUAACCGAGGAACUGCAUCGGAAACUGUUUUUCUUGAGUGCAGAAGAGGAGAGUGGAACUCCAUGUGUAGCGGUGGAAUGCGUAGAUAUAUGGAAGAACACCAGUGGCGAAGGCGGCUCUCUGGUCUGCAACUGACGCUGAGGCUCGAAAGCAUGGGUAGCGAACAGGAUUAGAUACCCUGGUAGUCCAUGCCGUAAACGAUGAGUGCUAAGUGUUGGGAGGUUUCCGCCUCUCAGUGCUGCAGCUAACGCAUUAAGCACUCCGCCUGGGGAGUGCGACCGCAAGGUUGAAACUCAAAGGAAUUGACGGGGGCCCGCACAAGCGGUGGAGCAUGUGGUUUAAUUCGAAGCAACGCGAAGAACCUUACCAGGUCUUGACAUCUAGUGCCAUUUGUAGAGAUACAAAGUUCCCUUCGGGGACGCUAAGACAGGUGGUGCAUGGCUGUCGUCAGCUCGUGUCGUGAGAUGUUGGGUUAAGUCCCGCAACGAGCGCAACCCUUGUUAUUAGUUGCCAGCAUUAAGUUGGGCACUCUAAUGAGACUGCCGGUGACAAACCGGAGGAAGAUGGGGAUGACGUCAAGUCAUCAUGCCCCUUAUGACCUGGGCUACACACGUGCUACAACGGGCAGUACAACGAGAAGCGAGCCUGCGAAGGCAAGCGAAUCUCUGAAAGCUGUUCUCAGUUCGGACUGCAGUCUGCAACUCGACUGCACGAAGCUGGAAUCGCUAGUAAUCGCGGAUCAGCACGCCGCGGUGAAUACGUUCCCGGGCCU